rnacentral:rRNA from 2 species
GCAGGGUAUAGACCCGAAACCCGGUGAUCUAGCCAUGGGCAGGUUGAAGGUUGGGUAACACUAACUGGAGGACCGAACCGACUAAUGUUGAAAAAUUAGCGGAUGACCUGUGGCUGGGGGUGAAAGGCCAAUCAAACCGGGAGAUAGCUGGUUCUCCCCGAAAGCUAUUUAGGUAGCGCCUCGUGAAUUCAUCUCCGGGGGUAGAGCACUGUUUCGGCUAGGGGGCCAUCCCGGCUUACCAACCCGAUGCAAACUGCGAAUACCGGAGAAUGUUAUCACGGGAGACACACGGCGGGUGCUAACGUCCGUCGUGAAGAGGGAAACAACCCAGACCGCCAGCUAAGGUCCCAAAGUCAUGGUUAAGUGGGAAACGAUGUGGGAAGGCCCAGACAGCCAGGAUGUUGGCUUAGAAGCAGCCAUCAUUUAAAGAAAGCGUAAUAGCUCACUGGUCGAGUCGGCCUGCGCGGAAGAUGUAACGGGGCUAAACCAUGCACCGAAGCUGCGGCAGCGACACUGUGUGUUGUUGGGUAGGGGAGCGUUCUGUAAGCCUGUGAAGGUGUGUCGUGAGGCAUGCUGGAGGUAUCAGAAGUGCGAAUGCUGACAUAAGUAACGAUAAAGCGGGUGAAAAGCCCGCUCGCCGGAAGACCAAGGGUUCCUGUCCAACGUUAAUCGGGGCAGGGUGAGUCGACCCCUAAGGCGAGGCCGAAAGGCGUAGUCGAUGGGAAACGGGUUAAUAUUCCCGUACUUGGUGUUACUGCGAAGGGGGGACGGAGAAGGCUAUGUUGGCCGGGCGACGGUUGUCCCGGUUUAAGCGUGUAGGUGUGUGUUCCAGGUAAAUCCGGUUCACUUUAACACUGAGGCGUGACGACGAGGCACUACGGUGCUGAAGCAACAAAUGCCCUGCUUCCAGGAAAAGCCUCUAAGCAUCAGGUAACAUCAAAUCGUACCCCAAACCGACACAGGUGGUCAGGUAGAGAAUACCAAGGCGCUUGAGAGAACUCGGGUGAAGGAACUAGGCAAAAUGGUGCCGUAACUUCGGGAGAAGGCACGCUGACACGUAGGUGAAGUGAUUUACUCAUGGAGCUGAAGUCAGUCGAAGAUACCAGCUGGCUGCAACUGUUUAUUAAAAACACAGCACUGUGCAAACACGAAAGUGGACGUAUACGGUGUGACGCCUGCCCGGUGCCGGAAGGUUAAUUGAUGGGGUCAGCGCAAGCGAAGCUCCUGAUCGAAGCCCCGGUAAACGGCGGCCGUAACUAUAACGGUCCUAAGGUAGCGAAAUUCCUUGUCGGGUAAGUUCCGACCUGCACGAAUGGCGUAAUGAUGGCCAGGCUGUCUCCACCCGAGACUCAGUGAAAUUGAACUCGCUGUGAAGAUGCAGUGUACCCGCGGCAAGACGGAAAGACCCCGUGAACCUUUACUAUAGCUUGACACUGAACAUUGAGCCUUGAUGUGUAGGAUAGGUGGGAGGCUUUGAAGUGUGGACGCCAGUCUGCAUGGAGCCGACCUUGAAAUACCACCCUUUAAUGUUUGAUGUUCUAACGUGGACCCGUUACCCGGGUUGCGGACAGUGUCUGGUGGGUAGUUUGACUGGGGCGGUCUCCUCCUAAAGAGUAACGGAGGAGCACGAAGGUUGGCUAAUCCUGGUCGGACAUCAGGAGGUUAGUGCAAUGGCAUAAGCCAGCUUGACUGCGAGCGUGACGGCGCGAGCAGGUGCGAAAGCAGGUCAUAGUGAUCCGGUGGUUCUGAAUGGAAGGGCCAUCGCUCAACGGAUAAAAGGUACUCCGGGGAUAACAGGCUGAUACCGCCCAAGAGUUCAUAUCGACGGCGGUGUUUGGCACCUCGAUGUCGGCUCAUCACAUCCUGGGGCUGAAGUAGGUCCCAAGGGUAUGGCUGUUCGCCAUUUAAAGUGGUACGCGAGCUGGGUUUAGAACGUCGUGAGACAGUUCGGUCCCUAUCUGCCGUGGGCGCUGGAGAACUGAGGGGGGCUGCUCCUAGUACGAGAGGACCGGAGUGGACGCAUCACUGGUGUUCGGGUUGUCAUGCCAAUGGCACUGCCCGGUAGCUAAAUGCGGAAGAGAUAAGUGCUGAAAGCAUCUAAGCACGAAACUUGCCCCGAGAUGAGUUCUCCCUGAGACUUAGGUCUCCUGAAGGAACGUUGAAGACGACGACGUUGAUAGGCCGGGUGUGUAAGCGCAGCGAUGCGUUGAGCUAACCGGUACUAAUGAACCGUGAGGCUUAACCUU